rnacentral:lncRNA from 1 species
AUAUUCUGACAGAUAAUUAAGAAAGCAGCAGCUUUUUCUAGACGGCUCUUCCUCAUGAUUUGCAUUUUAGCCAGAGGCGACCAGUUAUAAAAAAAACAUGAUGGAAAGAUGGUAAGAAGCCAAUUAGAUGGAUGGAUGGCUGACUGACAGCUCUCUGGUAUUACGACUCCAGAUUUCAGACUACAUAGCCUGGCAGUUUUCUACAAGAACCAACUUUUUUGCAGAAGGUCAUACAUAUGCUAUUGGAGAGUUCACAGCUAGCCCCUCACUACUCAAAUUGUGGGUGUUAUUGCCAGACUGCGGAGAUGCACAAGAAUUGACUUGAGAAGCAAGGAGAUUAUUCAUGCUCCUGCACACUCUGUUAUCUCUGGGAGCUCUUAAUCAAUGCAGGAUAUCCGGGUCAGAGCAGAUAAAAUUCAAGCCGCCAUGAACAUGCUGUGCUUUGCUGUGCUUCAGGGGAGAACUUCCAAACCACCUUUAUUCAGAACAGCAAAAUACCUGUGGUUUAGGCUCAUCAACCAUUGUCUGUCUUUCUGCUCUUCUCUCUCUAGAGAUAGUAGAGAAAGCUAGGCUGCCACAUAAACACUUCAACUUCAGGGAAAUUGGAAGCUAUGAAGUACUUCAAGCAUUACAAAUUCACCCCUUCUGUCUUGUUUUUCUAUCUCCCUUCUUUUUUCCCUCCUUUAUUGUCAUCUGUCUUCAAAUUUAAAUCUUGAAAAUUAGGGAAUAUUUACAUUGAUAGAAGUCUUUGAAAAUAUCAUUUUUAUUAUUAAGAAGCAAAAUAUAAUUUUGUACCUUUCAGUCAAUAUGAAAUGGCCAAUUAUGUUUAAUUUUACAAACUGAAUAAACCUUAUAUAAAAAAUGUGAACUAUGAAAGGAGCAUGGCAUUUAUCAUUCAUUUUUUGCAAUGCUUUAAUUUAAAAGUAAAAGUAUUGCUGUAAAAUAUGUGGUCUUUCAAAAUGAUGAAUUAAUUCACUUGACAUUUUUGGUGUUGUUUGAAAUUACUUUCAGGUGAUGCUGUGAUAUUAACUACUACAUGUUCUUUGAUAUAUAACACAAGAGAUCUUGAACUUAUUUUCAUGAUACCUAGACAGACCCCUUUCUGUUCAUGAUGGCUAAAAUAUCAAGUUUUUUUCCCCAC